UACGUAGGCAGCGAGCGUUGUUCGGAGUUACUGGGCGUAAAGGGUGUGUAGGCGGUUGUUUAAGUUUGGUGUGAAAUCUCCCGGCUCAACUGGGAGGGUGCGCUGAAUACUGAAUGACUUCGAGUGCGGGAGAGGAAAGUGGAAUUCCUGGUGUAGCGGUGAAAUGCGCAGAUAUCAGGAGGAACACCAAUGGCGAAGGCAGCACUCUGGGACGUGACUGACGCUGAGACGCGAAAGCGUGGGGAGCAAACAGG
rnacentral:rRNA from 1 species